rnacentral:rRNA from 1 species
AUCAACUUUCGAUGGUAGGAUAGAGGCCUACCAUGGUUUUAACGGAUAACGGGAAAUUAGGGUUCGAUUCCGGAGAGGGAGCCUGAGAAACGGCUAUCACAUCCAAGGAAGGCAGCAGGCACGCAAAUUACCCAAUCCCGACAUGGGGAGGUAGUGACAAUAAAUAACAAUACAGGGCUCAUUUGGGUCUCGUAAUUGGAAUGAGUACAAUUUAAAUCUCUUAACGAGGAACAAUUGGAGGGCAAGUCUGGUGCCAGCAGCUGUGGUAAUUCCAGCUCCAAUAGCGUAUAUUAAAGUUGUUGCAGUUAAAAAGCUUGUAGUUGAACUUCGGGGUUCGCCCAUUGGUCAGGUUUAAUUGUUUGUACUGGUGAGAUGAAUCUCUACCUUCUGAGGAACUUUCAUGCCAUUUAUUUGGUGUGAUUGGAAAUCAGGACUGUUAUUUUGAAAAAAUUAGAGUGUUUAAAGCAGGCUAACAUCUAAAUACAUUAGUAUGGAAUAAUGAAAUAGAACGGACUGAUUCUAUUUCGUUGGUUUCUAGGAUCACUGUAAUAAUUAAUAGGGAUAGUUGGAGGCAUUAGGUAUUUCAAUUGUCAAAGGUGAAAUUCUUGGGAUUUAUUGAAGACUAACUACUGUGAAAGCAUUUGCCAAGGAUGUUUUCAUUAAAUCAAGAACAAAAAGUUAGGAGAUCGAAGACGAUCAGAUACCAUCGUAGUCUUAACCAUAAACUAUGCCGACUAGGGAUCGGGACAAAGUUUAUUUUAUAAUGACGCGUUCGGUACCUUACGGGAAACCAAAGUGUUUGGGUUC